UGUGUUUGAACGGCACUUUUCCUUAGGAUUCCCCUCACUAGCGCGGUCGGUUCUGGAGAGCAGCCCCUAACGUUCUUGUUCAUUGUGUAACCUGACGCAUUAGGUUUCUAGGUACCAUUUGUUGAACUGCUGUUCCCUAACUUUCGGUUAAUCCGUCGGCCUGCAUGCGUUGCUAAAAAUAAUCAGAUUCUGUGUACUAACUCUGGCAACUAAGUUUGCUUCCUGUGGCCUGCUGCAUUAUGGGUCGUGAUCCUGUGGUGGGAGGGGAUAUUUGGAAAGACAGUGUUAAUGGCAGAAUAAUGAGAACAAGAUGUUGGCGUCUUGGCAUGUGGACCAGGGUACUUUGACUAGCAUGCUGCCGUCAGGGUGCUGACGUGGUGAAAUGGAGCCCGUGACCCCCUCGGCAGAUCGAAAGUGAUCUGAUGAAAAUAGAAUUUCAUGGAAAUGUGCUUUAAAUCAUCUUUGUGUUCAUGCUGAACACGUAACUCUGAGAGGCCACAAGCCAGAUAGCUGAGUUAAAUUCCUUGGCUUUGAACAUGCCAGUUUUCUUAAGUGACGCAAGCAAUGCAUUUACCUCUGUCAUUCUGGAUAUUUAGAACCGUGGUUUUUCCUGGGAAAUCUCUGCCAGCUUGGUGUGCCAGUGCUUCCUGGUUGUGGCUCUGUAGCCUUUAGGUGGUUGUGGUGCUCAUUGUAAAUGCGACCCACAGAAAGAUUGUCAUGGCUGAAACCUUCUUGGAGCCGGGACUGCAAACUGGGCAGUGUUGCAGGUAGAUCCUAGGAUGCGGCGGUGUUGAGGCACGGUGGCCAAAGUGCAUAGACCUCCUUUGAAAUCUGCAGAAAACAACUCACAGGCUCAUUGUUAGCAGGGACUGUCGCAACACAACCGGGGUGUGUGGAAGUGAACCCGUCACGCGUCAGGGGAAUGCUUCCCAAACAAACACUCCUGAAAGUGUUAGCGGAAAGAAAACAGAUUUAUUUGGAGAUAAAUGCAAACCAUUUCUGUUGCCUGUUUUCUGAGACAGGUUCUCCUGUUGCAGGCCCUGAACUUGCUAUAUCUCGAAGAUGUUUCUAAACUCCCGAUUUUCCUGUCUCUCCUUCCUUAGGGCUGGAUCACAAACGUGGGCCACUACACCUAGUUCCAAACUGUAAAACAUUUUUAUAUUGAGUUAUUUUACUAUAUUGUAAAACAUGCGUUUUUCGUCACUUUUAAAACAAAAAUCUCUCCAGGACAGCCAGAGAUACACAGAGAAACCCUGUCUCGAAAAACCAGAAAACAAAACAAAAACAAACCCAAAAUAUUGAGAACCAUUUCUGCUGAAUUGCGUUUUUAUUGUUUGUUUGUUUUAUUUUGUUUUACAUUUUGGAUGAAGAAUUCAACAAACCAGUAAAAAGACUAGUGAUGAGUAACUAACUUUUGCUAUCCAAACUUCAGAGGCCUGGCUGUAUUUUCUAGAAAUAAGAAGGAGGAGAGAAACUAAUGUUUUAAACCUAUAAGGCACAAUCUUCCCAUCUAAGUCACCACUAUUGACCUUCUGUAACUGAGCUGCAAUUUGGGGCUCAGGUUUUACAAGUAAACACACUCCCCACCUCCCCCCAAAAAGAGCUGGAAUUUAAACUCAAGUCUUUCUGAUUUCAAAGUCCUGUGUCUUUGGUCCAGUGUUGAGGUCUCCAAAUAAGACUGCGUAUUAGCGGAGAGCAUUUCCUAUCCUGCUGGAAGAGCACACGCUUUAGCUCAGUGUUUCUCAACCUUUGAGGGGUCAAAUGGCCCUUUCACAGGGGCCGCCUAAAGACCAUUGGAAAACACAGACAUUUCCACUAUAAUUCAUAACAGUGGAAAAAUUACAGUUAUGAAAUAACAAUGAAAUAAUUUUAUGGCUGGGGGGGUUCACCAUAGCAUGAACUGCCUUAGGAAGGUUGAGAACCACUGCGUUAGCUUCUUGGAUUUUCUAUUAAGCACUGAUAAGUUGAUGAGAUGACAUUAUUUGUGAUGUGCGGAGAAAAGGGAAGCAGGGUCCGUCUCAAUGGGCGUGGGAAUUUUUGAGCUGCCUUGAAAAACAGCAUGGUGGUUUAUGAAACAGAACUGCCAGACAGUCCUGGUUCUACCAUGUGCUCAGAGGAGAUGAAACCAAUGUCUGUGUUUCUGUGGCCUUUGAAACAUUAUUUGUAAUAGCUCAAGUAUGGAAAUACAUGUCUAUUGAUGAUAAAUCGAUAAAGAAAUUAUGGGAUGUGUGUGUACAUAUGUACACACCUAUGAGUAUUAUUUAGUCAUAAAAAGAAGGAAUUGUGCCAUUUGUGAUACCAUACAAGAGUCUAGAGGAAUUGUGUUAGUUAAAAUAUGGCAAAAACAUUACUGUUCAUUUGUGGAAUCUGAAAAAGUCAAACUCAUAGAAGCCGAGAGCUGAGCAGUGGUUGCUGGUCGUCCAGGCCUGGAAGAGGAGCAUGAACAGGUGCUGGUCUAGCAGCACCUUAAGUUCAAGGUAAGUGCAUUCUAAAAACCAGGUGUGCAGCAGCGUGGUGUGGUGAGUGGUAGUGAACCCAACCGAGGUGACGUACACACAGUGUGAGUGCACAGCAAAGCACUUUAUGUGAGUGUGUUCACUCUACAAAUUACGUCAUCCUAAGAGGGUGGAGCUAACGGCCGCCUGUGGUCUAAAGUCAUAGCUUUAGAAAUCCGCGAUCUGAUUCUCAGAUACGUUUGAUUUGGAAGAAGCAGAUGAGCCAAAUGAUUUGUGGUUUGGCCUUCAUCACUGAGAUCCUGGAUUUGAGAAUCCGGCCUCCAUGGCGUGCUACCUACAUGAUUGUGGAAAAAUCUGUCUGCCUUAGUUUCUGCAUCAGUCAAGUGAGACAUCAUAGCUUCAUUGCACUAUUUUCUUCCCAUGGGCUCUGAGUUAGAAAAAUAUAGUAGCCCUAUAAAAUGGUUCUGUCCUAUGUACACAAAUCUUGUUCUCUCUGCUGGGACAUUGUCCACUUCCUGUUUAGGAAGCUUGUCCAUCAACUCUUUAUGGUUCACAGGUGGGUUACAGGGUUUCCUGGUUGCUUCCUGGAGAUCUCUGACUAAGCUUGGUGGAUGAGACGUGUUUAUUCUAAUCAAGCUGAGGAUCACUAUUCUGGCCUCUUCGGUCAUCUGAACACACAGCUAGGUGAGGAAUGCCUGGAUGGAACCCGUUCCUGCGUAGUCAGCCACAACGUGUAUUUGUGUGGAGUUCAGGCUUAUCUGGUGUGUCACCUUCUGAAAAUGCUCUGUUUCCCUUGCUCUGGGGUGCUACUUCAUCGGAGUUCUGCGCACAGCUCACUUCCUUCUAUGAACUACUUCCCGGUUUGUCUUCCCAGCUCCUAUAUUCUUUGGUCCUUUGUUAGCGUUUCUUGACUGUAGGAUGUCAGAAAGUUGACUUUUUUUUUCUGGUAUAGGUUUCUCCACAUAUACUUCUGUACCCCAAGGAUUUCAGUUACAAACCCUUUUUAACUAUUUUGAGUUUCAAGCUCUCUAUCUGAUGAAAUCUAGAUUUGCUUCAUGCCUCACAUACCCAUCCUGCCUCUUCAUCUGCUACCUUCCCCAUCUGUGGAUGGUUUUACCUUCUCCCUGUAUCCAGAGUUGAAAUGUUGUCCUCACGUCCUGGGGAAAGUCUUGGUUUCUCUUUGGUUGUCUUCAUUCCCUCCAGGACUUGAGUUUUCAUUCCAGAACGAUUUUGCAUUGGUCUCCUCUGUCUCUACUUCAGUCGUCCUUGUCACCUGCCCUCAACAGUGUUCUGAUGUGUGACUCCCACCAUUGCAUCGGAGAGCACUGUGAUGCUGCGGGGCCCCGGUAUUGCUUGCCCGGAAGUGUGUGUUUCGCUGGGCUCCAUCUGGAUUCUUCCUCUACCUCUUGUUUGUUGCUGAGCCUCUUAUCUCUGCCUUCCUUUGGGGUCACGUUGGCUGGAUAGCAUGGCAUGUCUGACGUGAGGAUGCACUCUCUCUGUCUUUUCAUUUCUUUCAGUCUUGCGGGUUGACACCCAGGCGUUCUCUUAAGCACACGGAAACACUUUCUGCUGUCCCGCCAUCAACUCUUCCCCUUUCCCCCAAAGCUUUCCUUUUGCAGCCAACUUUUGUCACAUCCUUUCAGGGCUCGGAUAGCAUUCUCCCGGGACUCUCCUCUCACCACCAGCCCCAAAUAGUUGCCUGUGGCAUUAUCUGCCACAGCAGCCUGUGUAUUUCCUUCCUAUCACUAAGCAGUGUAAGUUAUUCUAGAAGUACCGACACCAGGCUUCGGCUGCAGAAUUCAAGCUCCCCCCAAAGAACAUUUUAUGGUUUGUGCAUUGGUGCAUCUUUACAUGCACAGUUGUAGGUCCUGGAGCUGCUGAGAUGGACUCCUUUUUUCUUUUAGUCUCCGUGAUUGACAAAGAGCUCCACUACUGAACUGCAUACGUGCUUCUUCCUUUCUGUACAAACCCAUUUGUGUAUUAUUUCAUGUGUUUGUGUGUGCGUGUGUGUAUCCCUGCAUGAGUUUAUGUACCAUGUGUGCAGGAACCCAUGAGAAGGCAUCGGAUUUCCCUGGAACUGGAACUAGAGGCAUUGUGAGCCUCUAAUUAAUCAGAGGGAUUAUGAGCCACCAUGUCGGUGCUGGGAACCAUAGUUGGGUCCUCUGCAAGAAAAGCAAAUGCUCUUAACGCUGACCCUUCUCUUCGGUCUCUCUUUCCCUUUUAAGGAGAGAAAAAAAUGGAAAAAAAAUUGAAAAAGAUUUGCAGAGCUAGCCGUAUCCUUUCAUAAUUAGUCAAUUAAAUAAUUCCUAAUCUGUUGUGAAAGCGGCACUAUCUCUUAUUUGUUGUUCCCUAGAGACCAGAGUUUUCAUCUUGGUCUGAUUCUUACAGUCAUUUCCCUGCAAAAUAUUUCUAAUCAACAUGCUGAAAUUGUAUUUUAUCUGUUUUUCAGUUUUAGGCAUUAUCCUUUGGUGUCAGUGUUUGCUUUCUUAUCUUCUUGCCCCUCGUUUCUCUGUUCUCCUUUUGCCAAUCAUAAUCAUAUUGUAAUUGUACUGUAAUUUGGGUGAGAUCGAUAUUCAGUGUUUACUUUAUUGCAACUGUGGAAUCUUCUCCACAGAUGAGCCGUUUAAUAUUGUUUGGUUUAUGUUUUCUCUCAAGAUUAGUUUAUGUGACCAGUAUUGACUUUUUUAUCAUUAAUUUUUGAUAGAGUUAUGAAUAAUUCAACUUCAAAUUCUUUACUACUUGUAAAUCUCCGUUCUGUAUAACCAGCCAAUGGGGAAUCUGUCAGGCCCCGAAACCCGUUCCUCUCGGUGGAGAAUGGCUUCCACUUGGCACCAUCCUGCCCUCUCCUUUAGGCUGUCUUAUACAAAAGCCCUGCUGUGUGUUGUCUUCAUGGUUGGUUUGUGAACCCAUUUCCAGUGCCUCACAGAGGAAGUGGGAUUCCAGAGAUGAGAGACCCGUGUCUGAAAAUGCCUCAUCCCCCUGGAUCUUAAGUGAUGUCUUAGCUAAGUGUGAAUGUUCGGGCUGGAAGCUGUCAGCUUUCAGAAUUUUUGGCACCUUCUUCUUUUCUAUGUGUUUCUCGAGCUAUUUCUUCGAAAGUUGCAUACAUCAGAUUCCAAAAUUGAAUCUUUUGUAUGAAAACCUUCCCUGUGGAAUUUUGUAGGCGUUUCUUUUUGAAUCCUGAUUUAGAAACCUUGGUUAACGUGUGGAUCAUUUGCAGAUCCUUUCACUCUGGAAGCCCUCCCUUCAUUUCCCUUUUUUAAUGUCCUCGGCUGAUCUGGAACUCACCAUGCAGCGGUGAUUCUCAACCUUCCUAAUACUGUGACUCUUGUCACGUGACUCAUGUUGUGGCGACCCCUAACCAUAACAUUAUUUUUGUUUCUACUUCAUCUGUAAUUUUGCUACUAUAAUGAAUCAUAAAGUAAAUAUCUGAUAUGCAGGAUGUCUGAUAUUUGACCCCCAAAGGGGUAACCACCCUUAGGUGAGAACCACUGACAUAGACCUGGCUGGCCUUGAACCCUCAGAGGUCUCCCUGCCUCCCAAGUGCUGGGAUUAAACCCUUAGAUUGAGAAUCUCUGAUGUAGACCAGGCUGGCCUCGAACUCUCAGAGGUCUCCCUGCCUCCCGAGCGCUGGGAUUAAAGGUGUGCAUGUAUUUCCUUUCUUUUAAAGGAGAAAAUUUAGUUCUGGAAGCAAAAUUGCCUUUAAUUCUAGAAAAAUAAUGUACUUUGUGCUCGAAUAUUUUUUCUUCCUUUCUAGUUUUUCUGGUCAUGAAAACUUCACUCUUCUGAUACUGACACCCACACUUGGCACAAUUCCCCUUUGAUUUCUUGGUCAGCUUCGUGAACAUUCCCUGAUUGUAUCUCUCAAGCCUGCUGGUGAAUUUUUAAUUUUGCCACAAUUUGAGGUUCCAUAGUUUUUGUCCUCCAGGUGCUUCUCUUUUGGUAAUGUUUUCUGUUCUCUCACAGGUAUGUUCGUCUCCGAUGAUGAGUCUGAAGAUGUCCUGGUGUUGUGUCCCCCACUCUACCCUCCCCCUUCUUUUAUCUAGGGGAUUUUUUUUUUAACAAUUCCUCUUGCAAUUCCAGGCUUCCUCCACAGUGACUUGGCUGGACUGUUUGAUUUUUAGGAAGCCUUGAUAUUGGUAUUUUUAGGUCUUUAUUAUCGUUGACUCCAGCUAUUUAUGAAAUACUUCAACCAGAAUGUAAACUUUACAUUUUUUCCUUCCUUUAUAAAGAAAAAAAGGGAGGAUGUAGAGGUGGGUUGUGAGCAUGGCUCAGGGCACUUGUGUAAGGCUCUGUGUUCAGUCCCUAGCGCUGACAGCCCGCCCCCACCCCCCACAAGGAUGGUAGUUUCCUGUGAGAAAAUAGAACCAAUGAGAGAGGUCUGGGUGGAAGUCUUGGGGUCUCCACAUUGACAUUCAACUUCUGUAAACUCUCUUCUCUGUGUGGAUCUCCAUUCUGAGUUGAACUUAGAACCAGUCCAUGGAUCCUUGCUGAGGAAACCAUCCUAGUGUUUGGUGGAGUUGGGGUGGAGGCUUCCUGUCCCACCCCCACACAUUCACUACCACCAUGGAAGGUAGGAGGGAUGGAGCUUCUCAAGUGCCUACACCAGUUGCUACUUGCCUGGGGCUUUCUCUGUCUUUCAAGCAGGCAUUUGCCGUCCUGUGCCCUUGUUGGUUUCUGUGCUGUGUGCUAUACAGCAUCAGAAGGCUUUAUCUGACCAUACCCUGUGCCUACUGACUGUCCUCACUGUUACGUGGUUUUGAGACUCUAGAAACCACAGUUCUGCUCUAUUUCCAUGAGACCAGCGUUUGUGCUUCUGCAUAGAAGUCAGAAACAUGCAGAAUGUCUUUCUGUGCCUGUCUGGUCUCACUUCAUAUGGCGUCCUCUCGUUUCAUCUAUGUUACUGAA